AUGUUCACUUCGGCAGCACAUGUAAUAAAAUUGGGAAAACACAGAGAAGAUUAGCGUGGCCCCUGUGCAAGGAUGACGCACAAAUUCGAGAAGCUUUACAUUUAAAA
ensembl:snRNA U6 U6 spliceosomal RNA